rnacentral:rRNA from 1 species
CCUACGGGCGGCAGCAGUGAGGAAUAUUGGUCAAUGGACGAGAGUCUGAACCAGCCAAGUAGCGUGAAGGAUGACUGCCCUAUGGGUUGUAAACUUCUUUUAUAUGGGAAUAAAAUGUUACACGUGUGGGAUUUUGUAUGUACCAUAUGAAUAAGGAUCGGCUAACUCCGUGCCAGCAGCCGCGGUAAUACGGAGGAUCCGAGCGUUAUCCGGAUUUAUUGGGUUUAAAGGGAGCGUCGGUGGAUUGUUAAGUCAGUUGUGAAAGUUUGCGGCUCAACCGUAAAAUUGCAGUUGAAACUGGCAGUCUUGAGUACAGUAGAGGUGGGCGGAAGUCGUGGUGUAGCGGUGAAAUGCUUAGAUAUCACGAAGAACUCCGAUUGCGAAGGCAGUUCACUGGACUGCAACUGACACUGAGGCUCGAAAGUGUGGGUAUCAAACAGGAUUAGAUACCCGAGUAGUC